UGCUUGCUUUGGCAGCAAUGUACUAAAAUUGGAAUGAUACACAGAAGAUUAGCAUGGCCCUUGCACAAGGAUGACAUGCAAAUUCGUGAAGCAUUCCACAUUUUU
rnacentral:snRNA from 1 species